GCGAUGCCUAAAAACAACUCAUAAUACAAUUUGCCAUGAGUAUGUUGUGUGUUGAGGACGAUGGUAAGGUAUUAGCAAUAUUAAGUAAAUAAUGUCUUUGUGGCGGGGGAGAGACGCUGUUGGUCCUGAUAAAGUGUUUUUCUUGGGGGAGGGUUUUUACUAUGUGUUUGCUCCCGCGAUUUCCCCGAAUGAGAAAACUCGGCUGCAUAACUUGUGGUAGUGGGGGACUGCUUUUGCGCUUUUCUGUCCUGUGAUUGAACUAGUUUAAAAGACGGCUUGUGUGUUGUUGCGUGUGUUUAUUUUCAGAGUUGUUGUAGUGGCGCGCGUUUGGUUUUGGAGUUGUGGUUAUGACCUUACGUCUUCUUAGGUUACGGUCUGUUUUAAUUAGAUGCUCGCUAAGUAUUUUAUACCGUUUCUAGGAAGGGUGGAAAAAUAAGCCAGACUGAUGUGGUACGCACCUGUGCUAGCUACUCGGGAGACUGAGGUGGGAAAAUCAUUUGAUCCCAGAUGGAGACUUAAUGAGCCAAUAUUGUGCCACUGCACUCCUGUCUGAGCGAUAGAGACCCUAUCUCAAUGAAGAAAAGUAAAAAAAAAAAAUUCCUGGGUCUUCAGGUGGGAAGUUAAGUACCUCAUCCCUUGUAGUUCAGUUUUUCUGUGCAGAUAAAUUUACCAGUUUGCUAUGUUAGCCUUUUGUUCUGGUGGGAUGAAUUGCUGAGGGUGGCUAAAGCCUGUAAACCCAGCACUUUGGGAGGCCGAGGUGGGUGGAUCACUUGAAGUCAGGAGUUUGAGACCAGCCUGGCCAACAUGAUGAAACCCUGUCUCUACUAAAAUACAAAAAAAUUAGCCAGGCAUGGUGGCGCACAUCUGUAAUCCCAGCUACUUUGGAGGCUGAAGCAGGAGAAUCGCUUGAACCCAGGAGGCAGAGGUUGCAGUGAGCCGAGAUCACACCACUGUACUCUAGCCCGGGUGACACAGUGAGACUGUCUCAAAAAAAAAAAAAAAAAAAAAAGCCGGUGCACAGGUGGUACACACUGGUACAGGUGGUGCAUGCCUGUAAUCCCAGCUACUUGGGAGGCUGAGGCAUGAGAAUAGUGUAACCACCCAAGGGGUUCACCUUGCCUGCUGCCUAGACAGAGCCAAUUCAUCAAGACAGGGGAAUUGCAAUAGAGAAAGAGUAAUUCACGCAGAGCCAGCUGUGCAGGAGACCGGAGUUUUAUUGUUACUCAAAUCAGUCUCGUGGAGCAUUCGAGGAACUGAGUUGUUAAGGAUAACUUG
rnacentral:lncRNA from 10 species